UACAGAGGUCUCGAGCGUUGUUCGGAUUCAUUGGGCGUAAAGGGUGCGUAGGUGGCGCUGUAAGUCGGGUGUGAAAUCCUGGGGCUUAACCCCGGAACUGCAUUCGAUACUGCAGUGCUUGAGGACUGGAGAGGAGACUGGAAUUCAUGGUGUAGCAGUGAAAUGCGUAGAGAUCAUGAGGAAGACCAGUGGCGAAGGCGGGUCUCUGGACAGUUCCUGACACUGAGGCACGAAGGCGAGGGGAGCAAACGGG
rnacentral:rRNA from 1 species